rnacentral:rRNA from 1 species
CUUUACUAUAGGUUUGCAGUGGUAUUAGAGGUGACAUGUGUAGAAUAGUUGGGAGGCUUUGAAGCCUGGACGCCAGUCCGGGUGGAGCCACAACGUGAAAUACCAACCUUGUUACUUCUGAUAUCUAACCGGGACAGUAAUCCUGUUUCGGGACCCUGCAUGCUGGGUAGUUUGACUGGGGCGGUCGCCUCCUAAAGAGUAACGGAGGCGCGCAAUGGUUGGCUCAAUCUGGUCGGAAAUCAGAUUCAGAGUGUAUUGGCAUAAGCCAACUUAACUGCAAGACAGACAAGUCGAGCAGAUACGAAAGUAGGUCAAAGUGAUCCGGUGGUUCCAAAUGGAAGGGCCAUCGCUCAACGAAUAAAAGGUA